rnacentral:rRNA from 1 species
UACGGAGGAGGCAAGCGUUAUCCGGAAUUAUUGGGCGUAAAGCGUCCGCAGGUGGCCAUACAAGUCUGCUGUCAAAGUGCAGAGCUUAACUCUGUAAAGGCGGUGGAAACUGUAGGUCUUGAGUAUGGUAGGGGUAGAGGGAAUUCCCGGUGUAGCGGUGAAAUGCGUAGAUAUCGGGAAGAACACCAGUGGCGAAAGCGCUCUACUGGGCCAUAACUGACACUGAGGGACGAAAGCUAGGGGAGCGAAAGGG